rnacentral:rRNA from 1 species
UACGUAGGGGGCGAGCGUUGUCCGAAGUUACUGGGCGUAAAGAGCGCGUAGGCGGACCCUUAAGUGAGGGGUGAAAGGUUCGGGCUCAACCCGGAGAGUGCCUUUCAUACUGGGGGUCUUGAGUGCGGGAGAGGCAAGUGGAAUGGUCGGUGUAGCGGUGAAAUGCGCAGAUAUCAGGAGGAACACCGGUGGCGAAGGCGGGUCUCUGGGCCGAUACUGACGCUGAGGAGCGAAAGCGUGGGGAGCGAACAGG